rnacentral:lncRNA from 1 species
AAAUAAAUAAAUCUCGUUUCGAUUGUCCUUUAAUUGGAAAAUCUCCCCCUACGCCCCUACGGGCGCAGGUAAAAAGGAGGUGUGAUAACGUGUUCUCGCCAUCUGCGAAAGAACAAAGUAGAAGUUCAAUUAGCAUUGAGAAACAAAACCACACGAUGAGAAAGAACAAAUGUGAAGUUUUCCUAACUCUAUAGCCUCUGGGGAUAAAUACAGACGUCUCCGCAUUGAUCCCUCAGACUUUACUGUGCUUGUCCGUGAAUUGUGAAACCUAUGUAACCUAGAGCUCUGAUACCAACUUGUCAUGACUAAGAAUUUCCACCCUCGGGAGUCGUGAUGGUGCCUACUCGUAGAAUCUAGGCAAGCCACGGACUUAGAAAUCUUUAACUCUUCUAUUUUAAUCCUUUUUACAGCUUAUAUUUGUCACACCUUCUUUUUACUAACACCCCCGGAAGGGUAUAUAAGGGUAGUUUUUUUUCAACUUAAAGUGACAAUUGAAACGUGAUUAUUUUAUUUAAAAUUCAGAGUCGUCACUUGGGAUAAUUUAUGGUGUCCCAAGUCAUCGUUUCAAAUCCUGAAUCGAGGAAAAGAUUGACUUUGUAUUAUAGUCCGCGAACACAGAAAUUCGGGUAAGGAAUUUUGUUAACCCGGGAGAAGGUAUUAGGCAUUCCCGAGUCCCGAGUUUUAUGGUUCUAGCACGGUCGCUCAACUAUUAUAAUUGGCCUAUUUACUUGAUUUUAGUACAUGUUUUAGCCUAUGGUGCAAUUUUAACUUUAAAACCACUUUUAUUUAUUAUUUUUAGAAAAGAUUCAACGUCAUCUAAAACACGUCUUGAACCACGUCACAUAAAUGCACCCGCGGUCCACGACACAUUUUAUUUAACGUUGUUGGGAUUUGGAUUUGGGUCACAUAAAUGCACACCCGAGUUUAGGAAGGUAAUUUAAAUAGUGCACCUAAAGCAACUACGCGCUUUCAAGUUUGCGAGGACCAUGGAAAAUUCAACUAAAUGACACACCUCGAUUUCUAAAGGAUUAAAAUUAAUUAAGUGAGGGCCAUGGAUUUUGAGAUUUUAUUUGGCAUGGCACACCUCAAAUUAUUUCAAAAGGGUUUAUUAUUCGAAGUUGUUAUAAUCGAGUUACACGAAAUGCACCCCCGAAUUUAGGAUUGGUUGUGAGCCUAGGAUUUAUGGAAAAAUGACUGUGAAGAAGAUGUUAUGAAUUUCAUUAAUAUUUGACCCAUGUAGUAAUUAAAGAAAAAAAUAUUUUUUAUAUUUAUAAGAAUUGGGCCAUGCUUACUAAAUCACGCUCGACAGAAACGACUCGACUGGCCCAUCUAAUCCUAAAAAAGGAAGAAGUGCAUCUUAUCAAACCUACUCAAUUUUCCAAGCCCAAUUAAAACAUUAGACAAAAAUAGAAUUAUGCUCAAAGCUUCAACAGUAAUUAAACCAACACGAAUAUUAACUCCAAUUGAAGUAGGCACAUUACGACAUUGACCAAUGAGAAUGACUAAGCAUUUUUUAUCAAAAGGAAGCAGUAAUCAUGAAGGAAGCUUGCGAAUAAACGAUCAAACUGAACUUAGUAACAUGCUAAAAAACACUUUAUUCCUGCUCAAAUAUAUACAGCUAAGAUAUCCAAAAACAGUGUAUUGGGCGAAAGAGUAAAAGAGUACAAAAUAUGAACCUUCUAUUGCUGAAAUUUUCCAAUGUUUACAACAAAAAAGGAGCUCCAAAAUUGCAAAUCCAAAAACGAUCUCCAUGUUACAACUUCACCGAACCCAGCAACCUCAAGCAAUUAUAGCAAUAAUGGUACGAACAGGAGCCAGAACCGAAGCUUGACCGGAGAACCUCUACUGAAAAUCACAGCUACUACAUGGCUUCGUUUUGGGGCUGGUUGGGGUCGUUUUUGAGAUGGUUCGGGGCUGUUUGUGAGCUGGUUUUACAGCUGAAAUUUCGCUAGGAAACAGGUUACUUUUCAGCUUGUUGGUUGUGAGGGUGAUGGUUAGUUGAUAUGUGUUUUUUUUGUUGAGAUGGGAGUGUGACUUAUUAAAAGAGAUCUGCGGCUGGUUUUGUUAAAAAGAUGAAACCUAAGGUUUUUGGAAUGUGAAGGAGAAGAAACGAAAAUCUGAUGGGGGUGCUCUUUUUUUC